UACGAAGGGUGCAAACGUUGCUCGGAAUUAUUGGGCGUAAAGCGCACGUAGGCGGCUUUGCAAGUCGGAUGUGAAAUCCCUCAGCUCAACUGAGGACGUGCAUCCGAAACUGGCGAGCUUGAGUGCUGAAGGGGAUCGCGGAAUUCCCGGUGUAGAGGUGAAAUUCGUAGAUAUCGGGAGGAACACCAGUGGCGAAGGCGGCGAGCUGGUCCAUUACUGACGCUGAGGCGCGACAGCGUGGGGAGCAAACAGG
rnacentral:rRNA from 1 species